rnacentral:ncRNA from 1 species
GGUUAAGCGACUAAGCGUAUACGGUGGAUGCCUUGGCAGUCAGAGGCGAUGAAGGACGUGUUAAUCUGCGAUAAGCGUUGGCGAGGUGAUAAAACCCGUUAUAGUCAACGAUUUCCGAAUGGGGCAACCCAACUGCAUAAGCAGUUAUCUGCAUGUGAAUACAUAGCAUGUAGAGGCGAACCGGGAGAACUGAAACAUCUAAGUAACCCGAGGAAAAGAAAUCAACCGAGAUUCCCCUAGUAGCGGCGAGCGAACGGGGACCAGCCCUUAAGCUUUUGGGGUGUUAGUGGAAUGUGUUGGAAAGCACAACGGUACAGGGUGACAGUCCCGUACACGAAAACUAACCUUAAGUGAAAACGAGUAAGGCGGCACACGUGACAUGUUGUCUGAAUAUGGGGGGACCAUCCUCCAAGGCUAAAUACUCCUGACUGACCGAUAGCGAACCAGUACCGUGAGGGAAAGGCGAAAAGAACCCCUGUGAGGGGAGUGAAAUAGAACCUGAAACCGUAUACGUACAAGCAGUGGAAGCGGUACUUGAGACCGUGACUGCGUACCUUUUGUAUAAUGGGUCAACGACUUACAUUUAGUAGCAAGGUUAAGCGAAUAGCGGAGCCGUAGGGAAACCGAG